GUCCCCAUCGUCUAGCUCGGCCUAGGACACCAGAUUUUCAUUCUGGCGACCGGGGUUCGAAUCCCCGUGGGGACGCCA
rnacentral:tRNA from 1 species